CAGAGUGCCAGCCCAACCCUGCCCAUCACCGGAGUCAGGAGAACUACGAAACUCUCCUCUGGGCUGCUAUCUGUCCUCUCCUCUCAGAGGGCUGGGGUGGAGGCCAUGUGGCACCACCCUGACUACUCUUUGCACAAGGAUUUUCUUUCUGCUCUCUGAACACCAGCUUUCCUUUCUUAACCCGAGCCUGUUUCUCUUAUGCUUCUUUCACAGACAAUGAAUAAUCAGUCCACUUCCUUCUUAUAAAAUCCCUCUCUAGAGUAAUCUACUUACCUCCUAAUGGGUGCUUUCCAGGCUAAAUAGCCUAUAUCUUUCUAAUCUCACAUCCCUGGACCUACUUUCUGGACAAAUAAGCAAACUGGCACCUCUAGUAGCUAUGGCUGAGGAAGCAGGAGCAGAGCAAGAUGAUCAGAGUCAUGAUGAUCCUGCCCCCAACCUCACUUCAGAAACUUUGGUAAAGUUUGUGGCCUCAGCUCUCCCCUCACUCUUGUCCCUUUUGCCUCUUAACGGACACUGGCGCUUUCCCGUGUGGCCCUGCAUGCCACACCUGACUGACUUCACAUAAUAGAACCCAGAACAUAGCUUUGGUGAUGGAAUAUGUGGAGGGAGGACCAACAAGACUCUGUAGCAAGUAGUGAUCUGUCUCCAAGUGGAUCUGUCCAGUACCCCUUUUGCUAUGGGCCCUUCAAGUUCACUGGAUCAUUGUCAGUAAGAGGGAGAGGACUCUUUAGAAGACUGACACCGAUUUGCUCUCGGGCAUGCAUCCUCCAAAGAUGUCUACAACUAAAUAUUGGCAUUUUGACCAAGACAAGUCCUAUCUGAGAAGGAAUCAUUUCUCACAGAGAAUAAAAGAUGUUGUAAGUAA